rfam:Pteropus alecto contig36428, whole genome shotgun sequence.
GUGCUCACUUCAGCAGCACACACACUAAAAUUGGAAUGAUACAUUGAUGGCAAGCGUGGCCCCUGUGUCAAGGAUGACACACAAUUUUGUGAAGCAUCCUAUAUUUAA